rnacentral:misc_RNA from 2 species
AGCAGCCGCGGUAAUUCCAGCUCCAAUAGCGUAUAUUAAAGUUGUUGCAGUUAAAAAGCUCGUAGUUGAAUUUCGGGGUUUAUCCGUUGGUCGGGCUUUUGGUCUGUACUGGCGUGAUGGAUUCCUACCUUCUGAAUAACCGGCAUGCCAUUAAUUUGGUGCGCCGGGGAAGCAGGACUGUUACCUUGAAAAAAUUAGAGUGCUUAAAGCAGGCUUAUGCCUGAAUACAUUAGCAUGGAAUAAUGAAAUAGGACGGCAUGGUUCUAUUUUGUUGGUUUCUAGGAUCACCGUAAUGAUUAAUAGGGAUAGUUGGGGGCAUUAGUAUUCAAUUGUCAGAGGUGAAAUUCUUGGAUUUAUUGAAGACUAACUUCUGCGAAAGCAUUUGCCAAGGAUGUUUUCAUUAAUCAAGAACGAAAGUUAGGGGAUCGAGACGAAUCAGAUACCGUCGUAGUCUUAACCAUAAACUAUGCCGACUAGGGAUC